rnacentral:tRNA from 2 species
GGCUCCGUAGUUCAAUUGGAUAGAAUGACAGGUUUCGGCCCUGUUGGUUGGGGGUUCGAAUCCCUCCGGGGUCA